GACAAGCAGGUGACAUCGUUUGGUGCAGUCAUGUUUGCUGCGAUCAGAACCGACACCCUUUCUUUACUUCGUUUGCCUCCAGCACAGUCGUCGUCCUUGAAUGUCAGGGUCUUGUCUGGUAGCAGUCGGUAAAAAAACGCAGUCUCGUCUGCAUUAAAGAUGUCUUCAAUGGUCUGUAUCGGCGAG
rnacentral:lncRNA from 1 species